AAGUCUGGUGCCAGCAGCCGCGGUAACUUCAGCUCCAAUAGCGUAUAUUAACAUUGUUGCAUUUAAAAAGCUCGUAGUUGAAUUUAUUUUUAUAAAUUUUAUAUAAGUAGUAUUAUUUUAUAAUAAAAUUAUUUAAAUUUAUUUUUUAUAAUUUUAUUAUAUAUUAAACGGUAAUAUUAUUUAUAAUUUAUAAAAAAAUUUUAUGUUAUAUUAUUUAGUAAUAGAUAAUAUAAUAUAAAUAUUACUGUGAAAAAAUUAGAGUGUUUAAAGCAUGUAUAUAAAAUUAAAAAAUAUAUUUUCUGAAUAUAUUUUUUUAGCUUGAAUAUAUUAGCAUGGAAUAAUAAUAUUAUAAUAUUUUUAUAUUAUUUUGUUGGUUAAAUAUAAAAAUAUAUGAUUAAUAGGGACAAUUGGGGGUAUUUAUAUUUCAUAGUCAGAGGUGAAAUUCUGGGAUUUAUGAAAGAUAAACAAAUGCGAAAGCAUUUACCAAAAAUGUUUUCAUUAAUCAAGAACGAAAGUUAGGGGAUCAAAGAGGCUUAGAUACCCUCGUAG
rnacentral:rRNA from 1 species